rnacentral:lncRNA from 1 species
ACGUGACAAGAGUGUCAUUAUGAGCAUCAUAAAUAAUAGAACAAGCAAAACAGAGGUGCGACGGUCGGUCUGUUUAUCUGGGCGUGAGUCGAGAUAACAGAGCAUUUUGUUUGAUAUUACAACUAGAAGUAGAGUUGUGUUCACACAGAAUGAAACAAAUGAUGGGAGAGGGGAGGGAAAGAGAAGGGAUAUAUGUAUUUGAAGUGAGGAAUAGGACGGGUGGGAUCAUACUAGCACUAAUGCAUCGAAUCCCAUCAUAAUCUGUAGUUAAGUGUGUUUGGGCGAG